GGAUGCGAUCAUACCAGCACUAAAGCACCGGAUCCCAUCAGAACUCCGAAGUUAAGUGUGCUUGGGUGAGAGUAGUACUAGGAUGGGUGACCUCCUGGGAAGUCCUCGUGUUGCAUUCC
rnacentral:rRNA from 1 species